UGAGUUUGAUCAUGGCUCAGAUUGAACGCUGGCGGCAGGCCUAACACAUGCAAGUCGAGCGGUAACAUGUCUAGCUUGCUAGAUGAUGACGAGCGGCGGACGGGUGAGUAAUGCUUGGGGAUCUGCCUUAGAGUGGAGGAUAACCAUUGGAAACGAUGGCUAAUACUGCAUAGUAUCUGCGGAUUAAAGGGGGCUUAGGCUCUUGCUUUAAGAUGAACCCAAGUGGGAUUAGCUAGUUGGUGAGGUAAUGGCUCACCAAGGCGACGAUCCCUAGCUGGUCUGAGAGGAUGAUCAGCCACACUGGAACUGAGACACGGUCCAGACUCCUACGGGAGGCAGCAGUGGGGAAUAUUGCACAAUGGGCGAAAGCCUGAUGCAGCCAUGCCGCGUGUGUGAAGAAGGCCCUAGGGUUGUAAAGCACUUUCAGUCAGGAGGAAAGGUUAGUAGUUAAUACCUGCUAGCUGUGACGUUACUGACAGAAGAAGCACCGGCUAACUUCGUGCCAGCAGCCGCGGUAAUACGGAGGGUGCGAGCGUUAAUCGGAAUUACUGGGCGUAAAGCGCAUGCAGGCGGUCUGUUAAGCAAGAUGUGAAAGCCCGGGGCUCAACCUCGGAACAGCAUUUUGAACUGGCAGACUAGAGUCCUGUAGAGGGGAGUAGAAUUUCA
rnacentral:rRNA from 1 species